AUGUGUCUGACAAAAAAUGCACUCUCACUCACAGGUCUCUGCUAUGGAAAAUUAGAAGCUGGUAUCUUAACGUUUGUCAUCCCCAUCCUUCUUCUUGGACACCUGUCUGGUUUGAUGAACGACGGGACAAAAAUGAGCCUCUUAGGAGUGUGGAUGGCGCUCUUCACCGUGUUCGCCGCGAGGAAAUUCCAGCAGCCCAUCAAGGACGACAUUGGCGACAAGUCGGUUUUCAUAUUCAACGCCCUCCCCGAAGAGGAAAAGAAGGCUCUGCUGCAGAGGCUUGAGGCACCAACUGAGCAGAAGUUCGAUUAA
rnacentral:rRNA from 1 species